rnacentral:rRNA from 1 species
AGUAAUGUCUGGGAAAUUGCCUGAUGGAGGGGGAUAACUGCUGGAAACGGUAGCUAAUACCGCAUAACAUCGCAAGACCAAAGAGGGGGACCUUCGGGCCUCUUGCCAUCGGAUGUGCCCAGAUGGGAUUAGCUAGUAGGUGGGGUAACGGCUCACCUAGGCGACGAUCCCUAGCUGGUCUGAGAGGAUGACCAGCCACACUGGAACUGAGACACGGUCCAG